AUUUGAAUUUGAUGUACCUUUUAUACAAGUCAAUAGCUCUUUCUUCAUUUGAAAAUUUCAGGAAUGGGUAAAAUACAGAAAAGGGAGACAAGCAAUGGCAUUUCAGAAGAUUCAGCAUGUAUUGAAUGUUUCUAUUGGUCGAGUGAUAUUUGAGGCGUGGCAUACACACACGUUGGAUGCUCGUAGGCAGCGGGAAUACUUCGAGAUGACGUUGGUCAGUGUAAUCAUGUAUAUAAAAAACGGGUAUCUGCAGUAACUAACCCCACUCUGUCUAGUUCAGUAUGUCCCAUGACACUGAAAAUCAAGAAUAAUGACUAAUAAUUAUAACCGAUGAAAUUAUUUCGGCUUUUACCAUAGAUAAGUACAAUUAUAUUUUCCAAUACCGGCUGUUCAAGACUUAUAA